rnacentral:rRNA from 1 species
AUACGUAGGUGACAAGCGUUAUCCGGAUUUACUGGGCGUAAAGGGCGUGUAGGCGGUCUUGCAAGUCAGAAGUGAAAUUCCUGAGCUCUACUCGGGCGCUGCUUCUGAAACUGCAGGACUUGAGUGCUGGAGGGGAUAGCGGAAUUCCUAGUGGAGCGGUAAAAUGCGCAGAUAUUAGGAAGAACACCGGUGGCGAAGGCGGCUAUCUGGACAGUAACUGACGCUGAGGCGCGAAAGCGUGGGGAGCAAACAGGAUUAGAUACCCUGGUAGUCCACGCUGUAAACGAUGAAUACUAGGUGUGGGGGGACUGACCCCCUCCGUGCCGCAGUUAACACAAUAAGUAUUCCGCCUGGGGAGUACGGCCGCAAGGUUGAAACUCAAAUGAAUUGGCGGGG